rnacentral:rRNA from 1 species
AGGAAUAUGCCUUAAAGAGGGGGAUAACUUGGGGAAACUCAAGCUAAUACCGCAUAUGCUCUGAGGAGUAAAGCUGGGGACCUUUGGGCCUGGCGCUUUAAGAUUAGCCUGCGUCCGAUUAGCUAGUUGGUAGGGUAAAGGCCUACCAAGGCGACGAUCGGUAGCUGGUCUGAGAGGAUGACCAGCCACACUGGAACUGAGACACGGUCCAGACUCCUACGGGAGGCAGCAGUGGGGAAUAUUGGACAAUGGGGGCAACCCUGAUCCAGCAAUGCCGCGUGUGUGAAGAAGGCCUGAGGGUUGUAAAGCACUUUCAGUGGGGAGGAGGAUUUAGAGGUUAAGAGCUACUAGAUUGGACGUUACCCACAGAAGAAGCACCGGCUAACUCCGUGCCAGCAGCCGCGGUAAUACGGAGGGUGCGAGCGUUAAUCGGAAUUACUGGGCGUAAAGGGUGCGUAGGUGGUUUGAUAAGUUAUCUGUGAAAUCCCUGGGCUCAACCUGGGGCGGUCAGAUAAGACUGUUGGACUCGAGUAUGGGAGAGGGUAGUGGAAUUUCCGGU